rnacentral:rRNA from 1 species
AGUUACAGAUAUACAAUACAACAGCCAUAACAAUAGCAGGUUUGGGCCUGGUUACUACUUGGAUACAAGACCACUUGGGAAUGCCAGGUUCUGUGAGCU